rnacentral:snoRNA from 1 species
GGCCUCAUAGAGAAGAUUAGAUUUAUCUACAUUGAAUAACUUCUGACAUAUGCUUGUCUUUUUUCAAUGAUUUAAUCAUUGGCC